UACGUAGGGGGCAAGCGUUGUCCGGAUUUAUUGGGCGUAAAGAGCGUGUAGGCGGUUCGGUAGGUCCGUUGUGAAAACUCGAGCUCAACCUCGAGACGCCGAUGGAAACCCCCGAACUAGAGUCCGGAAGAGGAGAAUGGAAAUUCCUGGUGUAGCGGUGAAAUGCGCAGAUAUCAGGAAGAACACCCGUGGCUAAGGCGGUUCUCUAGUACGGUACUGACGCUGAGACGCGAAAGCGUGGGGAGCGAACAGG
rnacentral:rRNA from 1 species